rnacentral:rRNA from 1 species
AUUGAACGCUGGCGGCAUGCCUUACACAUGCAAGUCGAACGGCAGCACGGGAGCAAUCCUGGUGGCGAGUGGCGAACGGGUGAGUAAUAUAUCGGAAUGUACCUUAUCGUGGGGGAUAACGCAGCGAAAGCUGUGCUAAUACCGCAUACGCCCUGAGGGGGAAAGCGGGGGAUCGAAAGACCUCGCGCGAUUAGAGCGGCCGAUGCUUGAUUAGCUUGUUGGUGGGGUAAAAGCCCACCAAGGCGACGAUCAAUAGCUGGUUUGAGAGGACGAUCAGCCACACUGGGACUGAGACACGGCCCAGACUCCUACGGGAGGCAGCAGUGGGGAAUUUUGGACAAUGGGGGCAACCCUGAUCCAGCAAUGCCGCGUGAGUGAAGAAGGCCUUCGGGUUGUAAAGCUCUUUUGUCAGGGAAGAAACACCGGCUCUAACACAGUCCGGGAAUGACGGUACCAUUAAUCCGUG